rnacentral:rRNA from 1 species
GACGAACGCUGGCGGCGUGCUUAACACAUGCAAGUCGAACGGAAAGGCCCUGCUUUUGUGGGGUGCUCGAGUGGCGAACGGGUGCGUAACACGUGAGUAACCUGCCCUUGACUUUGGGAUAACUUCAGGAAACUGGGGCUAAUACCGGAUAGGAGCUCCUGCUGCAUGGUGGGGGUUGGAAAGUUUCGGCGGUUGGGGAUGGACUCGCGGCUUAUCAGCUUGUUGGUGGGGUAGUGGCUUACCAAGGCUUUGACGGGUAGCCGGCCUGAGAGGGUGACCGGCCACAUUGGGACUGAGAUACGGCCCAGACUCCUGCGGGAGGCAGCAGGGGGGAAUAUUGCACAAUGGGCGGAAGCCUGAUGCAGCAACGCCGCGUGCGGGAUGACGGCCUUCGGGUUGUAAACCGCUUUCGCCUGUGACGAAGCGUGAGUGACGGUAAUGGGUAAAGAAGCACCGGCUAACUACGUG